GCCCGCCUGGCGGAACUGGUAGACGCACCGGUCUCAGAAACCGGUGUCCUGACGGACGUCCGGGUUCGACUCCCGGGGCGGGCA
rnacentral:tRNA from 1 species